GUAUGGAAAACAGCUGCAUUGACGGACGUGGCGUAGAGUUUGCUGCACUGGACUUCUCCUCUGUCUUGGUUUGCAUCCUUCCAGAGUCCAACCCGGAGGAUUUGAGUGCAGGAUUACAGGCUCCGUGGGCACAGCUGGUUGAUCGUCUUCCUGCAGGGGAGGUCCUAAGGAGCAGAGGGUAGACAGGCAAGUAUGCAGAGAGAGAGCCCAGAGCCUGCACCCAGCUUCACCAUUCAGAUAAGUUGCUCUUCCCUGGAGCGUAAUCCAGACUUACAGAAACUGGAAGUGACUGGUCAGCGCUGGUCGGACUGGCCAUUUGAAAUCUAAGGCUUGUGCUCUGGCUUGGAAAAAUGAGCUGGGAGUCUCUCCUGGGGAUUUGACACCUAAAACAAAGGAACUUGUUGGUUAGCUUAGCAGCCAGGGUGGGAGUCCUAUGCAGUCAGGGUUGCAGGGGCCCUUGGAUGCCAUGUGGCCCAAACAAGAAAACCCAGAUUGUGGAGAGAGGGUUGUGAUCAGUUCCUGUGGUCCCUGAAAGGGCUGCUUGGGUCCUGGUGGCUUUCUGUUCCCAGCUCCAGUUUCCUUGGGCUGUGGAUUGAGCCCUCAGAUUUCUGUGUAUGUUUUCAGCCAACCUGUCUUUACUUGAGUAAGCUAGGGUGGGGUUCUCUCCAUGUGACUGAAAGAAGUGAUAAGAGCAGACAAAAUGGAGGUGGAGACUACGUUUUAGAACAUCUCUAACAGGGCUCUCUUCCACUAGGCUACACCAGCUUCCUUACGUGGUGGGUCUCGGGUUCACGAGAGCAAAAAUGGAAACAAAGUCACUGCGUUCACCACAUUCUACUAGUUGAAGUAAGUCAUGAGGCCAACCCAGAUUAAAGGCCCUGGAGACUCUGCCUCUUUUUUGGCGGGGAAGGGACUCCACCUCUUGAUGGCGUUUGCCUGCAAAGAAUUUUUGCCCAUAUUUACCCAUAAAAACUUCAUAGUUUCUAUUCUUGCGUCUGUUUGGGUAAAAUGUAUUUUUCUAAGAAUUUUUCACAUGAUCUGAAUUUUUAAAUUGUCAUCAUUUUGUUCUUAAUAUCCUCAUAUUAUCUUAAGGUCUGUCAAACCUGUAACAAAGGCCCCUUUUUCAUUUCUCUCUUUUCUUCUUUUGGCUGAGCCAUGUGGCUUGUGGGAUCUUAGUUCCCACCUGGGCGCUCGGCAGUGGGGGUGUGGAGUCCUAACCACUGGACCGCCAGGGAAUUCCCCCCUUUUUCAUUUCUGACAUUGGUUAUUUGUGUCCUCUUCCUUUUUUUCUUGAUGAGUCUUGACAGGAGUUUAUCUGUAUUAUUAAUCUUUUCACAGAAUCUGCUUUUGGCUUUGUUGGUGCUCUCUAGUUCAUAUAUUUAUUUUUAAUUUAAAUCUCUUCUUUAUUAUUACCUUCUUUCCUUGGAUUUAAUUUUCUGUUUUCUACCUUUUUGAAUGUUUAGCUCACUGAUUUUCAGCCUUUUCCCUUUACUGAUAUAUGCACUGUUUCCCCAAAGCAUGGCUAUUUUGCUUUUUUCAUUGAUCUCAGAUUAUUUAGACGUUUAAAAUUGUAUUUUAAAAUUUCUAAACAUAUGGGGAUUUUUCUAGUUAUCUUGCCUAAUUGCAAUUGGGUUGAGAACAUAUUUUAUAUGAUUUCAGUCUUUGGAAAUCUGUUUCGACUUUCUGGCUUGGCAUAUGGUCUAUUGUUGUUCAUGUGCCGUAUGUGCUUGAAUGCUUGGCUCGUGACGCAUUAUCGUAGCUUGGAUUCCCCCAGAAACAGACUUUGAGACAAGGGUUUGGGAGAUGAUCCCAGAAAGCACUGGUAGAGCUGUGGGAAGUGAGGCAGGGAAGGGAAGGCAGCACAUCAGAGGUGCAUUUUCAAGCAAGGUAUCACUGUGGGCAACAGCUUCAUUCUCUGGGCAACUCUGGGAAGCAGUGGAAAUAGACUUCCCACUCUCGGGGUGAGGGCAUUUGUACACCCUUCAUUUGGUUGAGGGCUGCUUAAGGGGAUGGGUUUUUUGUUUUCUGUGGGGUCUUUUGUUUCUUUUAGUUUGGCCCGUGGGAUUUUGGGUCCCUGGCCAGGGGUCGAACCCGUGCCCUCUGCAGUGGAAGCGCAGAGUGUUAACCACUGGACCGCCAGGGGAGUCCCAAGGGGAUGGAUUUUUAAUUCGCUGCCACUUCCCGCUUGCCACACACAUCAGGCAGAGUGGGCUCUGGUGGAGAGGGAUCUCUCCAGCAAAGAUCAGCCGCCUCGCCUGCUUCACCCACUGGGUUCACGUCUGUGGCCGCCACCUGUGGCCACAGCGGCCAUCGCUCCCGUCUGUCAUGGCUGCGUCAGCAGCAGCCAGCGUCAUCCUGACACCUUUGCCGCCUGUCACUACUGAUGCCAUCACCUCAUCCCACCAUAGCCACCGUUGGUGGAGGUAUUGAAAUGACAAGAAUGCCUUCAAAAUGCUUGACUGCCUUCGCAAAGAAUGGCUGCAUUCAACCCAGGAGGCCAGUGAGAAGUGGUGGGCGUGAAGGUGGGGGGGAAGCCCUGGGAAGUGUGUGGGGAGGGACGGACAGCAGUGUUGGGGGGACGUGUGUGCACGCUGAAGGGGCUGAGUGAGCGGAUAACGCUCAGGGUUCUGAGGAGGCAGAAUUCCAGUCAAGGCUUCAGAGCCGCAGAGUUCGGCUCGGGCGGCAGAUGGGCUUGGGCGGCUCCUUGGUGGGUGGUGGCAGUGGCCUGGCGGUUCCUCCUGGCCCUGUUAAUGUCGGGGCCAGGCCCGGGGAGGAUGGCGCCCUAGAGCCCAGCCUCGCUGGGGUAGGGGUGGGAGGGGACGUGAUGGGGACCGGCCAUGUCGGAGGUGACCCGAAGUCUGCCGCAGCGCUGGGGUGCCAGCUUUGGGAGAGGCUCCGACUUCGACUCUUGGGGCCAGCUGGUGGAGGCGAUAGAGGAGCAUCAGAUAUUAGCAAGACACCUACAAAAAGAGGCCCAAGCUCAGCACAGCAAUUCUGAAUUCACAGAAGAACAAAAGAAAACUAUAGGCAAAAUGGCGACAUGCUUGGAAUUACGAAGUGCAGCUUUACAGUCCACACGGUCCCAAGAAGAAUUUAAACUGGAGGAUCUGAAGAAGCUAGAACCAAUCCUAAAGAAUAUUCUUACAUAUAAUAAAUUCCCAUUUGAUGUUCAGCCUGUCCCCUUAAGAAGAGUUUUAGCACCUGGUGAAGAAGAGAAUUUGGAAUUUGAAGAAGAGGGUGGUGCUAGAGCAGGGUCUCCUGAUGCCUUUCCUGCUAAGAGUUUCCCGUACUUUAUUACCAAGGUUGCCAUCAGAACCAGGAGUGAUGUUACUCAUUAUCAGAAUUGAGAAAAUUGGCCUGAAAGAUGCUGGGCAAUGCAUUGAUCCCUAUAUCACGGUUAGCGUAAAAGAUCUGAAUGGCAUAGAUUUAAGUCCUGUGCAAGAGACUCCAGUGGCUUCAAGAGAAGAAGAUAUGUAUGUUCAUUUUAAUGUGGACAUGGAGCUCCAGAAGCAUGUUGAAAAAUUAACCAAAGGUGCAGCUAUUUUCUUUGAAUUCAAACACUAUAAGCCUAAAAAAAAGGCUUACCAGCACCAAGUGUUUUGCUUUCAUGGACAAGGAUGAAAUUAAACCUGGGCCAAUUGUAAUAGAACUAUACAAGAAACCCACUGACUUUAAAAGAAAGAAAUUGCAAUUGCUGACCAAGAAACCACUUUGUCUUCAUCUGCAUCAGACUUUGCCCAAGGAAUGAUCGUGACAUGAAUACCCUGGAACUUCUGUGAAUCUUACCACUCAGUAGAAACCAUCCUAGCUCCGUGUAGCCUAUUCGCCCUUCAACAGGCAGGAAGCAAGCCGUACCCAGGCCAGCAGGCCAGAGUGGGUCCAUUACACAGCUGUAGCACAGAAUUCAAAGUCCAGCACGUCACUGAUGUGAAAGGCUCCUCUGGAUACAGGCUUAUUGUAGAUCUUGAAAUGUUUUCACUUUUCUAUUAAUUGUGCAAUGAAUAGCCUCUUUUCUAACGUGCCACUACUCCUGCCCUGCUUCCUGGAACGACACUGUUGUGGGUGGAAUGUGCUCACCUGCGCGCUUAAUACAGCAAUAAGAGUGUGCUAGAGUUUACACACCUGUCCACUUCUGCUCCAAUAUGCUCUUCGGUUUUUCAAGUUAAUGUCAAACUUUGGGUUGAUGUGGAUAGGAUAGUAUGAAACUGCCUUUGAGAGGAAUUGGACCAAUUAUGCUGCCCAAGGUCAGUCUGGAAAUUUAUAGGCUGCUCCUCGGAGACGGCCUUGAUUCACCCUGAUCUCAUGGUUCUCCUGCUUAGAAACAGUGUGUCUUGGCCAAAUCAGCAUCCCAUAUGGGCGUGUUCACAGGUUGUAGCUGUGAUUUUUCCAGAUGACCAGAUCGUUUUUCUGAAAGAGCAUUUUUUUGUUUGUUUGUUUUGUUUUGUUUUGUUUUGCGGUACGCGGGCCUCUCACUGUUGUGGCCUCUCCCGUUGCGGAGCACAGGCUCCGGAU